rnacentral:tRNA from 1 species
AGGUCAGUGCCUAUCCCGUCCGCCUGAAAAGCGGAAGGUCGCCGGUUCGAUCCCGGCCCUGGCCA